rnacentral:rRNA from 1 species
UACGAACUGUGCGAACGUUAUUCGGAAUCACUGGGCUUAAAGGGUGCGUAGGCGGCUGUCUAAGUAGGGUGUGAAAGCCCCCGGCUCAACCGGGGAAUUGCGCCCUAAACUGGAUGGCUGGAGUGAGGCAGGGGUGUGUGGAACUUCCGGUGGAGCGGUGAAAUGUGUUGAUAUCGGAAGGAACGCCGGUGGCGAAAGCGACACACUGGGUCUCAACUGACGCUGAGGCACGAAAGCCAGGGGAGCAAAC